rnacentral:rRNA from 1 species
AUUGAACGCUGGCGGCAGGCCUAACACAUGCAAGUCGAGCGGAUGAAGGGAGCUUGCUCCUGGAUUCAGCGGCGGACGGGUGAGUAAUGCCUAGGAAUCUGCCUGGUAGUGGGGGAUAACGUCCGGAAACGGGCGCUAAUACCGCAUACGUCCUGAGGGAGAAAGUGGGGGAUCUUCGGACCUCACGCUAUCAGAUGAGCCUAGGUCGGAUUAGCUAGUUGGUGGGGUAAAGGCCUACCAAGGCGACGAUCCGUAACUGGUCUGAGAGGAUGAUCAGUCACACUGGAACUGAGACACGGUCCAGACCCCUACGGGAGGCAGCAGUGGGGAAUAUUGGACAAUGGGCGACAGCCUGAUCCAGCCAUGCCGCGUGUGUGAAGAAGGUCUUCGGAUUGUAAAGCACUUUAAGUUGGGAGGAAGGGCAGUAAGUUAAUACCUUGCUGUUUUGACGUUACCAACAGAAUAAGCACCGGCUAACUUCGUG